rnacentral:rRNA from 1 species
AUUGAACGCUGGCGGCAGGCCUAACACAUGCAAGUCGAACGAGUGGCGGACGGGUGAGUAAUGUCUGGGAAACUGCCUGAUGGAGGGGGAUAACUACUGGAAACGGUAGCUAAUACCGCAUACCAUCGGAUGUGCCCAGAUGGGAUUAGCUAGUUGGUGGGGUAAAGGCUCACCUAGGCGACGAUCCCUAGCUGGUCUGAGAGAAUGACCAGCCACACUGGAACUGAGACACGGUCCAGACUCCUACGGGAGGCAGCAGUGGGGAAUCUUGCACAAUGGGCGCAAGCCUGAUGCAGCAAUGCCGCGUGUAUGAAGUAGGCCUUCGGGUUGUAAAGUACUUUCAGCGGGGAAGCGUUACCCACAGAGAAAGCACCGGCUAACUCCGUGCCAGCAGCCGCGGUAAUUC